rnacentral:rRNA from 1 species
ACAGCAGUAGCCGCGGUAAUACGUAGGUGGCAAGCGUUGUCCGGAAUUAUUGGGCGUAAAGGGCUCGCAGGCGGUUUCUUAAGUCUGAUGUGAAAGCCCCCGGCUCAACCGGGGAGGGUCAUUGGAAACUGGGGAACUUGAGUGCAGAAGAGGAGAGUGGAAUUCCACGUGUAGCGGUGAAAUGCGUAGAGAUGUGGAGGAACACCAGUGGCGAAGGCGACUCUCUGGUCUGUAACUGACGCUGAGGAGCGAAAGCGUGGGGAGCGAACAGGAUUAGAUACCCCCGUAGUCCCUGUCUCUUAUAC